rnacentral:rRNA from 1 species
UACGAGGGGGGCGAGCGUUGUUCGGAAUUAUUGGGCGUAAAGGGUGCGUAGGCGGUUUGGUAAGUCUGAUGUGAAAUCCCCGGGCUUAACCUGGGAAUGGCAUUUGGGACUGCAAGGCUUGAGUGCGGCAGAGGAGACUGGAAUUCCUGGUGUAGCAGUGAAAUGCGUAGAUAUCAGGAGGAACACCGAUGGCGAAGGCAGGUCUCUGGGCUGACACUGACGCUCAUGCACGAAAGCGUGGGGAGCAAACAGG